GUACUCGAGCGGCGAACGGGUGAGUAACACGUGAGUAACCUGCCCCUGACUCUGGGAUAAGCCCGGGAAACUGGGUCUAAUACCGGAUACGACACCUCCUGGCAUCGGGUGGGUGUGGAAAGUUUUUUCGGUUGGGGAUGGACUCGCGGCCUAUCAGCUUGUUGGUGGGGUAACGGCCUACCAAGGCGACGACGGGUAGCCGGCCUGAGAGGGCGACCGGCCACACUGGGACUGAGACACGGCCCAGACUCCUACGGGAGGCAGCAGUGGGGAAUAUUGCGCAAUGGGCGAAAGCCUGACGCAGCGACGCCGCGUGGGGGAUGACGGCCUUCGGGUUGUAAACCUCUUUCAGCAGGGACGAAGUUGACGUGUACCUGCAGAAGAAGCGCCGGCUAACUACGUGCCAGCAGCCGCGGUAAUACGUAGGGCGCAAGCGUUGUCCGGAAUUAUUGGGCGUAAAGAGCUCGUAGGUGGCUUGUCACGUCGGGUGUGAAAGCUUGGGGCUUAACUCCAGGUCUGCAUUCGAUACGGGCUGGCUAGAGGUAGGUAGGGGAGAACGGAAUUCCUGGUGUAGCGGUGAAAUGCGCAGAUAUCAGGAGGAACACCGGUGGCGAAGGCGGUUCUCUGGGCCUUACCUGACGCUGAGGAGCGAAAGCGUGGGGAGCGAACAGGAUUAGAUACCCUGGUAGUCCACGCUGUAAACGUUGGGCGCUAGGUGUGGGGACCUUCCACGGU
rnacentral:rRNA from 1 species